UGGGGAAUAUUGGACAAUGGGCGAAAGCCUGAUCCAGCAAUGCCGCGUGUGUGAAGAAGGUCUUCGGAUUGUAAAGCACUUUCGACGGGGACGAUGAUGACGGUACCCGUAGAAGAAGCCCGGCUAACUUCGUGUCAG
rnacentral:rRNA from 1 species